UCUGCCUACGGGGCGCAGCAGUGAGGAAUAUUGGUCAAUGGGCGGAAGCCUGAACCAGCCAAGUCGCGUGAGGGAAUAAGGCCCUACGGGUCGUAAACCUCUUUUGCCGGGGAGCAAGGGCGGGGACGUGUCCCGGCCCGGAGAGUACCCGGAGAAAAAGCAUCGGCUAACUCCGUGCCAGCAGCCGCGGUAAUACGUAGGGUGCGAGCGUUAAUCGGAAUUACUGGGCGUAAAGGGUGUGCAGGCGGUUUUGCAAGAUGGAUGUGAAAGCCCCGGGC
rnacentral:rRNA from 1 species